GAUGAACGCUGGCGGCGUGCUUAACACAUGCAAGUCGAACGAAGCAUUUAGAACAGAUUAUUUCGGUAUGAAGUUUUUUAUGACUGAGUGGCGGACGGGUGAGUAACGCGUGGGUAACCUGCCUUGUACUGGGGGAUAGCAGCUGGAAACGGCUGGUAAUACCGCAUAAGCGCACGGUGCUGCAUGGCACAGUGAGAAAAACUCCGGUAGUAUAAGAUGGACCCGCGUCUGAUUAGCGAGUUGGUGAGAUAACAGCCCACCAAGGCGACGAUCAGUAGCCGACCUGAGAGGGUGAACGGUCACAUUGGAACUGAGACACGGUCCAAACUCCUACGGGAGGCAGCAGUGGGGAAUAUUGCACAAUGGGGGAAACCCUGAUGCAGCGACGCCGCGUGAGCGAUGAAGGAAUUCGUUUCGUAAAGCUCUGUCCAAGGGGAAGAUAAUGACAGUACCCUUGGAGGAAGCCCCGGCUAAAUACGUGCCAGCAGCCGCCGUAA
rnacentral:rRNA from 1 species